GGCAAAGAAUGGUUUACAUGCAACAAAAGUACGACAUGAUGGCUGUAACUGGUGUGUGUGUCGUGGGAACCCCCGACCAUAUCAGGAGUAGAAGGCUGAGGCAGUACGUAGCCAGGCACCAGUCACACUUCAGAUGGAGGAUGGGAGAGAUGGUUUGUCAUGGGGUCCCCUGACUAAAAGACAGG